UUAAGAUAGUAUUACUUAUUUUUAGUUUAUUUAGUGUGUAAUUUUUUGUACACUGGUAGUUUUUUUGUUGUUUCAUAGGUGUUCCAGAAUAAUCGGCUAUACAUUUUAAUUUUUAACUCUAUUUGUUGUUAUAUUACUUUUUUUUUAUUCUUUUUUAUGUUUUUUUUUGUAAAAUGUUUUGAUUUUUUUGUAUUUUUUUGUAAUAUUUAAAAUUUGUUUUUUGAACUGGAUUAGUACCCAGGUAAUCAAAGUUUAUUAAUUCGGGAGUAAAGUUUUGUUUAAACCGAAAAAAUAUUGACUGACUUUAGAUUUUUCUUUGGAAUAUGUGUUUUUGGAGAGCCCUCUUUUUUGGUGAAUUUUAUUGGCACAUGUAUGAUUGUUUAGUUUUUAUGUUAUUUGUGUUGCUUUUUUGUUUUUUUGCAUUUAAAACAGAUAUAUAUUUGGCUUAUAAAUUUAUUUUUCAUGUAUUACUAUUAUUAAUUUUUUUUGGAUUUAUUUUUUAUUUUAUUUUUGAAAUUGGAAAAGAAAGUAAUUUUUUCUUUAUGUGUUAA
rnacentral:rRNA from 1 species